rnacentral:rRNA from 1 species
UACCAGCACCCCGAGUGGUCGGGACGUUUAUUGGGCCUAAAGCAUCCGUAGCCGGUUCUACAAGUCUUCCGUUAAAUCCACCUGCUCAACAGAUGGGCUGCGGAAGAUACUAUGGAGCUAGGAGGCGGGAGAGGCAAGCGGUACUCGAUGGGUGGGGGUAAAAUCCGUUGAUCCAUUGAAGACCACCAGUGGCGAAGGCGGCUUGCCAGAACGCGCUCGACGGUGAGGGAUGAAAGCUGGGGGAGCAAACCGG